rnacentral:lncRNA from 1 species
GGACGGGGUUGGGGGGAAUUACCAUUAGCAGUUGAAGUGGUAGGAAAUUUUUACAUAGGAGAGUAUGGUGAUCAUAUUUGCAUUUUAGAAAAUAAUGGAUAGCAGUUUGUUAGGGGAACAAAGGACAGAGACAGGGAGACUAUUUAAAACAUUAAUAAAAAAUACCAGUGACAGAUGAUGAGGCACCUACCUGAUGGGAAUGGAGAAGAGGAGAUGGAUUCAGAAACUACUUAGGAGAGGCAGGCAGUCCAAGGCUGAUGCCCAAAGAAGCCAUCAAGACCCGUGCUACUUCCAGCUCCUUCUGUCCUCAUAAUCAUAGAUGAUUGCUCCACAUCCAGCACCUAACACCAGUACUCAGUUAAAUUUUUUGCUGAAUAAAUCAAUGAAUGGAGAGGUAAAGAGGAACCAGAAGUUGGGGUUACAGAAGUCACUGAUGGAAGAGUUUCAAGAUAGUAGAAGUGGUCAGCCCUGUUAAGUGACAAGCCAAGGACUGAAGAAAGACUGGCAGAUUUGGCAAUCAGAUGAAGUGACCUGACCAAAGAGCAGCUUGUGUGAAGUAGUGAGGACAGGCGCUGGUCUGCGACUGGUUUAGGAGGAAAUGGAAAUGAAGAAGAAGAGAUAGGAAAGUGGAGAUUAUAUGAUGACAAGUAUCAAGAUAAAAAUGAACACAUUUGGCCUGCUACCUGAAUUUUUUAAAUCGGCUCACCAAAAAAUAUCAGGCUUAUUGAAAUAUUGGAAUAUCUGAUGAAGUUUCCUCUUAUCUUUGAGCUGUUUGGGUUUGGGUAAAAUUUCAAUGCUUAAAAUUCACGUCUACAACUAGCAGGCAGAACCUUAAAGUCCAGAACCAUUAAAGGGUUUAAUAAUGGUGAGGCAUAUGAUGAUGCUGAUGAUGAUAAUGUUUCUUUCUUUCUUUUGUGAUCUUAAUCACUGUGUGAUCUUAACUAGUUUGAAAUGAGAAUUUCAAUGGAGACAGUAGUGUAAAUUUACCAACAGAACAAUUACAGUCGUGACAAAACAAAAACUAUACAAGCAUAUUUUUGUUCAUUCUAUAAAUUUGUACUGAGUACUUUAUAUACACUAGGCAUUCUGACAGAUAUAAUUAUGUGGGUAUAAAAUUUAGUUUAUUUGAUAGUUGCUUUCCCCACCGCCUCCAGAAAUUCUUGAUUUAGUUGGUAAAGAAAAUCAGUUAAGCAAAUAAGUUCACUAUUUGUAGAAGUGUAGAUGGGUUAUGGUGGGGGCACAAAAUAAUAAAAUAAUGUAUUUAAAACUAUUUUCACAUCUGUGAAAAGCUCUAUACAUCUGUGGCAUUAAGACUAAAGAGAAUGGUAUCAAGUCAUAGCUGCUUUCUAGAAAACAUGCAUGAGACAUUUAGGACCUCUGCAUAUUACCACUGAGUUGUUUUUCUUUUAAGGGGCUACAAAGGAGUAUGUUCAGCAUGAUCUUAUUUUUAUUAAAAUUAUACUUUCUAUACAGAAAAAGACUAUAAAAAUACACACUUAAAACAUUAGCAGUGACCCACAGCUAGUAUCAUACUGAAUGGGGAAUAACUAAAAGCCUUUUCUCCAUGAUCUAGAACACAACAAAAAUGCCCAUUUUUACCACUAUUAUUCAACUUAGUACUGGAAGUUCUAGCUAGGGCAAUCAGACACGAGAAUGAAAUAAAAUGCAUCCAAAUUUGAAAGGAAGAAGUGAAA